UCUACCAGGCACUGGGAGUAACAGGCUCACUUUUGGGAAAGGCACCAAAUUCUCACUCAUCCCGA